CGAUCUCCCAGACACCACCUCCUGAGUUCUGGCAUCCCAGGGCAUUCAGUGCCACCAAGUCUGGUUUAUUGGUUUGGUGUGUGUGUGUGUGUGUGUGUGUGUGUGUGUGUGUGUGUGUGUGUUUCCCCAGCAAAACCGAGUGAAUGGUAGAGCCUUGUGUACCAAAUACUCGUGCCAGGCGGUACACUGGAAUAAGUGGAUGAGUCUGCGUUUGCAUCCGUAGCCCGAGAGUGAGGAUGUGACAGCCAGAGGGAGGCAGUCGACUUCAGUUCUCAUUCAAGAUGCAGGAGCUCAUUGGAACCGGGUGGACUGGGAAGCAUAGUACAGCCAGUGUGUCCUGUCUGACUGUCCCUUUCUUGUCUCUUUCACUUCAUGAAGCCUUCAAGAGCCUUGAAAUGCAGGAAGGCAUCCGGAAUUGGACAAUGAGGUUCAAGACAAAGCCAGAUUCAGUGAUGCUGGCCCUCACCCUGGAAGGAACGUGGGCAGAAUCCACCAUCAAUUAAUCAGGCCAGCAUCCACUCUGAGCAAACCCAGGUCUGAGCAAAGCUGGGAAUGAGUAACAAGCAACCCCAGCCGCUCUCUUCGUUCCGACUGAGUGAACCGGUAACCCCAGACUGAUACCCAGCCUCUGUCUCCUGGCACACGGAAGUCCAGGAAGAAAAAGUAGCAAAAGCCUGGCUUCCAUGGCUUGCAUCUGACAAGUUUCUACACCCCUGGUACUCAGAGCCACAAGUCUUCAGCUUGACUCCACUUCACACACAGAAUUUCUUGUUUGUUGUAUGUAGCCUGAGAACAAUUUGUAUCUGUUUGUCAUGGCUUACGGUCUGAGGAGUCCUGGGUUUAAGGCGGUGAAGGAGAAAGGCAAAGACUGAAUACAUGGAAACCUGAAGCUACAGAGUAAUGACUCUUGUGGAUGUGACUUCCUGUGCAGAGGUAUCUGUGACAGAGCUGAUAAAUCAGGCAUAGGAGAUUGACAACAGUGACAAGGCAGACUCUCUCACCGAGCUUGAAGCUCUGCUAGACUGACGUGUGAGCACUUCCGGGACCCUCCUGUCUUGGCUUCCCCUGGACGGGGGUUACAGGUGCACCACCAUGGGGACUGAGCUCAUUUGUGACAAGCACUUUACUAAGUGAGCUAUGUCCCCAGCCCCUGGACAUCCUUGAAAUAAAUGAAUGGUUUGCUGGAAAUAUGCUUGCAUUUGCUAAAUCAGAGGUCAAUGUUUUUCCAUCCUUGAAGUCUGUAAGUAUGACUUUGUAGCCUUGACCAGUUCAUUGGGAAAAUCCCAUUAGUCAUGGUCUGAGUGUGAGAAAUCCUGUAGGCUCAUGUGUUUGGUCGCUUGGUGCCCAGCUAUGGAGGGGCAGCUGCUCAAGGACAACCUGUUGGUGUUAUGGAAGCUUUCCAGUUUCCAGAGGGACAGCAUUUGAGCCGUCUCAGAAGCUUACUGUGGUAUCUGUAACCUUCCCCUGGGUCUCCACGCAGGCCAGGUGGUGUAGAGGGAAAGCCGGGUCACAGCCAGGGUAGAGAAGAAGGCAGGAUUAUCCCUCCCAGCUCAACCCACACCUGUACACAAGGCAACUUUUUAUUCUGGUUCCCUUGAGGCACAAGGCUCCAGAGUGCCCCUGGGGCCCUUAGCACUAUGAAAGGAGAGGACAGGUGGCAGCUUUGGUUUACACUUUCAUAGAUCCUGGGUAAGGCAUCUGCUGUUUGCUCCAGGCAAGAACAGAGGCCUCCCAACUUGAGGAACUCACCUAAUGCCUCCAUUGUCUUGCCAGCUGCUGAAGUCAAAGAAGGUGUCACUCUGGCUGUGGUCCCUGUCUCAGAGGGUCAGCUGGCUGUACCCUGCCUGCAUGGCAGGUGCUAGGCCUGGGAGUUGGUGUCCUCUCCACCCAUAGGUUGAAAUUCCCAGCCUCCCCAGUGAAGAUGGAGUGAGGAAGGGGGCUUUUGGGAAGUCAUUAUCUCGUGGGAGCGAAGCCCUCAUAUGGGACUGGUAUCCUUAUAAUAAGACCCUAGGAACU